GAAGGUUAUGCCGAAACCGUCCUAGCGGCGGCCGGCAGCCCUCCCAUCAUUCACCUUGUGCACGUAUCGAAAUCUUGCUUUGGCAGCACUCUUCGGGCUUUUUUGGGUCUGGAGGGUCUGCCAGAGAGAAGUUUCUAAUCAUGCCAUGACUUUGCCUGAUCUUUAUACAAAUAACAAAUGAAA
rnacentral:misc_RNA from 1 species